rnacentral:tRNA from 1 species
GCGCACGGCGGGCUGUCGGGCGGGUCCCGCGGCGUCAGCGGCGCCGUCGACGACGGCAUCGGCGUCGUCCGGACGGGGGUCGCGGCGCUGCCCGGUGCG